rnacentral:rRNA from 1 species
UUCUNNNUNNNGUANCAANCAANNNCNNUNAGNGAAAGUUANNANAACUUUNNANNNAGAGUUAAAUAGUACGUGUAAUCGGUUAGAGGGAAACGAGUANANCNGNNNNUNAUGUAUGGGAUUCAGAUGAUUGUGUUGUCAAUCUUAUUUAGCAAAAUCUCAAUAGGAAUUGCUGAUUUAAGCUCAUAAUANACGAUCAAUGCACUUUCCAUAUGUCAAAACUGCGACCAAUAGUGCUGUUUUUCUGUAGUGAUGGUGAAGGUGACSAAUUCUUCAGGAAUCGGUUUUAUAGCUCAUUACACGGUUAAAUUGGUGUAUUGGUGAUUUCUGAUUUGCUGAUAUUGAUGGUUGGUAAUGCUGAUUGUUUGAGUGUGAGCUCAAAAGAGAUUGCAUUUGAAUGAAUGGUGUAAUUGACUAUCGAUUGGUAAAUCUAGUAAGUCAGCAGUGUAUAUGUAGGUUACCUACUUGUCCCGUCUUGAAACACGGACCAAGGAGUUUUAUAUGAUCGCGAGUCAAAGGGCCUUACGAAACCCCAUGGCGAAAUUAAUGUAAAGGUUUGCUUCGGUAAGCUGUGAUGUGACCUCGUGGAAACACAGAGUGCAACAUCGACCCGUCUUAAGGUGUUCGCAUCUGGGCGGAGUUUGAGCGAUCAUGUAGAGACCCGAAAGAUGGUGAACUAUGCUUGUGCAGGUUGAAGUCAGAGGAAACUCUGAUGGAGGACCGCCGCGGUUCUGACGUGCAAAUCGAUCGUCGGACAUNAGUAUAGGGGCGAAAGACUAAUCGAACCAUCUAGUAGCUGGUUCCCUCCGAAGUUUCCCUCAGGAUAGCUGACAUUUGUUGUUGUAGUUUUACCUGGUAAAGCGAAUGAUUAGAAGUAUUGGGGACGAAAUGUUCUCAACUUAUUCUCAAACUUUAAAUGGGUUCNAAGUGCGUCUUUCUUNNNUGAAGAUGUGCAUUGAAUACAAAUGUCUAGUGGGCCAUUUUUGGUAAGCAGAACUGGCGAUGUGGGAUGAACCAAACAUCUGGUUAAGGUGCCUAACAUNACGCUCAUGANAAACCACAAAAGGUGUUGGUUGAUAAAGACAGCAGGACGGUGGACAUGGAAGUCGUCAUCCGCUAAGGAGUGUGUAACAACUCACCUGCCGAAUCAACCAGCCCUGAAAAUGGAUGGCGCUGUAGNNNNNNACCUAUACCGGAUCGAUAUCGCAAG